GAGACACCCUUAUGGGGUAGGACUUGCUUCAGUGGGGCUUUGGUGCUCACUGAUUCUGCUUCUUGAGUAUGCCCCU
rnacentral:pre_miRNA from 1 species